UACGAAGGGGGCUAGCGUUGUUCGGAAUUACUGGGCGUAAAGCGCACGUAGGCGGACAUUUAAGUCAGGGGUGAAAUCCCAGAGCUCAACUCUGGAACUGCCUUUGAUACUGGGUGUCUAGAGUAUGGAAGAGGUGAGUGGAAUUCCGAGUGUAGAGGUGAAAUUCGUAGAUAUUCGGAGGAACACCAGUGGCGAAGGCGGCUCACUGGUCCAUUACUGACGCUGAGGUGCGAAAGCGUGGGAAGCAAACAGG
rnacentral:rRNA from 1 species